rnacentral:rRNA from 1 species
UGGGGAAUUUUGGACAAUGGGCGAAAGCCUGAUCCAGCAAUGCCGCGUGUGUGAAGAAGGCCUUCGGGUUGUAAAGCACUUUUGUCCGGAAAGAAAUCCUUGGCUCUAAUACAGUCGGGGGAUGACGGUACCGGAAGAAUAAGCACCGGCUAACUACGUGCCAGCAGCCGCGGUAAUACGUAGGGUGCAAGCGUUAAUCGGAAUUACUGGGCGUAAAGCGUGCGCAGGCGGUUUGCUAAGACCGAUGUGAAAUCCCCGGGCUCAACCUGGGAACUGCAUUGGUGACUGGCAGGCUAGAGUAUGGCAGAGGGGGGUAGAAUUCCACGUGUAGCAGUGAAAUGCGUAGAGAUGUGGAGGAAUACCGAUGGCGAAGGCAGCCCCCUGGGCCAAUACUGACGCUCAUGCACGAAAGCGUGGGGAGCAAACAGGAUUAGAUACCCUGGUAGUCCACGCCCUAAACGAUGUCAACUAGUUGUUGGGAUUCAUUUCUAGUAACGUAGCUAACGCGUGAAGUUGACCGCCU